rnacentral:rRNA from 1 species
ACUCCUACGGGAGGCAGCAGUAGGGAAUUUUUCGCAAUGGAGGAAACUCUGACGGAGCAAUACCGCGUGUGGGAAGAAGAUUUUCGGAUUGUAAACCACUGUUGUAAGGGAAGAACGUUAUUAGUAGGAAAUGGCUAAUAAGUGACGGUACCUUACCAGAAAGGGACGGCUAACUACGUGCCAGCAGCCGCGGUAAUACGUAGGUCCCGAGCGUUAUCCGGAAUUAUUGGGCGUAAAGGGCACGUAGGCGGACAAAUAAGUUUGAUGUCAAAUAUGAUGGCUCAACCAUCAAGAGGCGUUGAAAACUGUUUAUCUAGAAUCUCGGAGAGGUAAGUGGAAUU